rnacentral:tRNA from 1 species
UGGGGUGUAGCCAAGUGGUAAGGCAACAGACUUUGACUCUGUCAUUCCGCUAGUUCGAUCCUAGCCACCCCAGCCA